rnacentral:rRNA from 1 species
AGAGUUUGAUCAUGGCUCAGGACGAACGCUGGCGGCGUGCCUAAUACAUGCAAGUCGAGCGGACAGAAGGGAGCUUGCUCCCGGAUGUUAGCGGCGGACGGGUGAGUAACACGUGGGUAACCUGCCUGUAAGACUGGGAUAACUCCGGGAAACCGGAGCUAAUACCGGAUAGUUCCUUGAACCGCAUGGUUCAAGGAUGAAAGACGGUUUCGGCUGUCACUUACAGAUGGACCCGCGGCGCAUUAGCUAGUUGGUGAGGUAACGGCUCACCAAGGCGACGAUGCGUAGCCGACCUGAGAGGGUGAUCGGCCACACUGGGACUGAGACACGGCCCAGACUCCUACGGGAGGCAGCAGUAGGGAAUCUUCCGCAAUGGACGAAAGUCUGACGGAGCAACGCCGCGUGAGUGAUGAAGGUUUUCGGAUCGUAAAGCUCUGUUGUUAGGGAAGAACAAGUGCAAGAGUAACUGCUUGCACCUUGACGGUACCUAACCAGAAAGCCACGGCUAACUACGUGCCAGCAGCCGCGGUAAUACGUAGGUGGCAAGCGUUGUCCGGAAUUAUUGGGCGUAAAGGGCUCGCAGGCGGUUUCUUAAGUCUGAUGUGAAAGCCCCCGGCUCAACCGGGGAGGGUCAUUGGAAACUGGGAAACUUGAGUGCAGAAGAGGAGAGUGGAAUUCCACGUGUAGCGGUGAAAUGCGUAGAGAUGUGGAGGAACAUCAGUGGCGAAGGCGACUCUCUGGUCUGUAACUGACGCUGAGGAGC